rnacentral:rRNA from 1 species
UACGAAGGGGGCGAGCGUUGUUCGGAUUUACUGGGCGUAAAGGGCGCGCAGGCGGCUCAUUUUGUCAGGCGUGAAAGCCCCGGGCUUAACCUGGGAACUGCGUUUGAUACGGAUGGGCUAGAGUUCGGGAGAGGAGAGUGGAAUUCCUGGUGUAGCGGUGAAAUGCGCAGAUAUCAGGAAGAACACCCGUGGCGAAGGCGGUUCUCUGGGACGGUACUGACGCUGAGACGCGAAAGCGUGGGGAGCGAACAGG